CUGGUGCGUGUGGGAUUUGGGAUCCUGCUUCGGCAGCGACGGCGCGCUGCACGUGCCUCCUCAGUCGGUGUCGGUUCAAGAGCGUGCUCGCCUUGGCCCGUGUUGGUUUUCUGUGUUUCAUACCGGUCGUGAAGGCACUCGGUGUCCCAAAUGUCCCUCUUCCGUCGUGCGCCGUUGCCCCUCGGGGUGUCGGCGUGGGGCGGACCGCGAAGACCCGCCGAGUUCCGCGUGCAGCGCCUGAAAUGGCGCCCGCGCGUCGGACCCCGGCGACGUGCUCGAUCUCUCGGAUGCGGAAUAUCCUGUGGGCAUGUGGCCAUCGGCCGCUAUCUGCCCCGAAACAAGCGUUUCACGCUUCGUGCGAACGACUGCCGUGCCCGUCUCGGUCGARCCCAUGCGGCUCGCUCCGUGCGGUCGCGGCGUC
rnacentral:misc_RNA from 1 species